AAUGCAUGAUUUGAGGUUAAAUUUCUGGAAAUUGUGACGUUCGCUGUUAAAUGUAGUUUCUGUCAAAUUUCUUAGAGUUGUGCUUUUCAAAAGCAGAACUCUCAGAAGUUCCUGGAAGUUGCAAUUUACGCCGCCACAAGAAAAUGCCUUUCACUUAUGUUAAUUCAUUUUGCAGCUGGCAUGUGUUGGUUUAAUGUUUUCCAUGAUCCACACGAGAAUAAUGCAAGGAAUUCAACAUGGCGGCCUCUACACUCUAUCCACGAAAAGUGACACUCCGUAUUGUUAUCUUGAAAAUCUAAUCUCUUUUCUAUUAGGUGCGUUCUCAUUUGGUACAUUUUGUCAUGUAACUGAAAGUGCUGACGUGUAGAGGUCGACAAAACGUCUCUUUCAUUUUGUCUUCCACGAACAGUUGACGAUUUUUUUUCAAUCCAUAUUUCGAAUUGUGCGAGAUUUUUCCUAGCACGAGUACUGGGCCAUGCGGUAAGCGUGACGGGGAGCUGUGAAGCUUUGGCCGGCUAGCGCGUGAACAGUGCCCGGUGGCUGAACAAAAGCCAUUGUCAGAUGUAUUGUGAUCGUCUGUUGUUCGUCAAACAAAGCUUUUCAAAAGACACACGUUUGCAGCCAGGUGCAGUACUACCGUUCUGUUUGAAAGGGGGAAAUUGCUGGCAUUGGUCUGUUGAUUGAUAAGUGUAAAGGCACAUGGUACUGGUGUACGGAGACUUUAUCCAAAGGCUGGCCUGGCAACGUUGUACACUAUCUACCCGAGUUAUGAAUAUUCAUCAGCAUGGACAAUGAAUAAAGAUGAAGUGAGGUCAUGAUAGGCGGGGAAAGCUCGUGAAACACAGAG